rnacentral:rRNA from 1 species
GAUGAACGCUGGCGGCGUGCCUAAUACAUGCAAGUCGAGCGAACGGACGAGAAGCUUGCUUUUCUGAUGUUAGCGGCGGACGGGUGAGUAACACGUGGAUAACCUACCUAUAAGACUGGGAUAACUUCGGGAAACCGGAGCUAAUACCGGAUAAUAUUUUGAACCGCAUGGUUCAAAAGUGAAAGACGGUCUUGCUGUCACUUAUAGAUGGAUCCGCGCUGCAUUAGCUAGUUGGUAAGGUAACGGCUUACCAAGGCAACGAUGCAUAGCCGACCUGAGAGGGUGAUCGGCCACACUGGAACUGAGACACGGUCCAGACUCCUACGGGAGGCAGCAGUAGGGAAUCUUCCGCAAUGGGCGAAAGCCUGACGAAGCAACGCCGCGUGAGUGAUGAAGGUCUUCGGAUCGUAAAACUCUGUUAUUAGGGAAGAACAUAUGUGUAAGUAACUGUGCACAUCUUGAAGGUACCUAAUCAGAAAGCCACGGCUAACUACGUG